rnacentral:lncRNA from 1 species
GCAGCGGGGAACCAGGGCUCUGCGGGGCUCAUGGCGAGUUAUGGAAGCUGUUACGAAUCUGCCUUAUGUAAAUGAACAAGUGCAGCAGCUAUGGUUCAAGAAGGCCAUGGUGACCAGAGGCUCAGACCCUUCAGGGAGGAGGCUCAGGGUCACCUUAUCAGCCUGGACUUUAACCACGUGGAAAGCAAGAUUAGAGGCCCCCUGAAUAGUACUGUUCACGAAGACUAAAAGGAACUGAGUGUGCCUGAGCUUAAGCAUCACGAAGACCAGUAAUAAAGAACUAUUUACAAACUUGGUUUGUAUUUUUUAAAAUUGCACGUGCAUACAUGUUACCUGUAUGAUAAGAGAAAGCUGAGCUACCGCAGGUGUGUAGGGAAUAUUCUCUGGCAGUACAAGGGAAAGGGAAGGGCUUUACUUCGAGGCAUCAAAGCACACAGUCCAUGUUUUAGAUUCUUAAAUGUAAAGAGACUAUACCUUAGAAAAGUGUCUUUUCAGAUUACUAGAGGCAGUGUGCACCAUGAGUGUGGAAACAAAAGCCGGAUUCAGAUCCCAGCCACGCCACUUGCUAACGUGACCUCAGGUAAGUCACAGCUUCCCACAGCCUCAGUCUCUUAAUAUGCAAUAAAUCAAGCUGCUUAGGGCCGUGGUGAGGAUUUGAGGGCGUGUGGCCCAUCUUCCUUUGCAGGAUUAUUCACUCAUGUCUUAUUUCUGUUCCCCUGUGAUGGAAACCACACGUCUUGCUUCACGGAAGGUUCCUCCCUGGCACACAGUCCUGGCUAGGGAGGAUCCUCCCUGAUCCCUGCAAUGGAACAGGGGUCUCUCCAUAGCC